GUUGAUUCCGGCGAGUCAAGCUUUCAGGAGCCGAAUCCCCUGAACAUUUUGCCGACUGGAAUGUUAUGCUGAUGCAAGUUCCUUAAAGAAAGACUUUUUUAUGUCAUUAUCAUAGAGUCAACGAAAAAGGAGUCUUACCGCUCGGCUGCGCCAGGUAAGCUCCAAAAUAUGUUUUACAUGUGUAAAAUAUUACUACUCACAUUUUUGUCCGAUUAGUAAUUCAAACAACGAUUUUACCUUGAUCAAGUUACACGAUAAUAGAUUGUCAAGUGCUUUUAGACUGGACAAUAAAAGGCCUCCUCAGUUGUUUAGUAACUUAACAACAAGAUAAUGAUUUUUCCACUCAUAUUCCACAGUAGAUUACAAAGUGUUUAAAAUUUUUCAAGUGGACCUAUUAAUUAAACACGUUAAAAGGUUAGCCGUGCCAUGUUAUCCAAUCGACAUCCACACCUCAGCAAUAUACAACCAAAAUUAGCCAGAAUGAUUGAAUUUGUGCUAGGUCAAAAAGUUUAGAGUUGAAUUGGCACAAAGUGAAAUGUUUAAAACUAAAUUGACAUUUAAAUUUUGGGGACUUUUAAAAUUUUCUAUUUUUAAAUAAUUUUUAUUCCAAAAAUAGGGAUUCGGGUUGGGCCCCUGAGCCUGGUCCGAAUAUGGGCCAAAAUCUGGUCUCAUGGGUUUGGGCCACAAACGAGAUUCGGCUCAAGGCACCCGGAGCCCAUUGUCAAUAGCGAUUUAAGUCCAACUGAAAAGCAAAUUUGGUCCAACCUAAUUUCAACGACGUCCUCUUCAAGAACGAAAGCCCAACUCGUUCAUGGCUCCCACCAAACACCUCAGAACAUUACAAAUAUGUUUUCAACAUUUGGCCAAAUGCCAAGACUCAUUUUUUUUCUUUCAAAAUUAUUUGUACCAAUUCUUCAAAUUUUCGAUUUUGUCCCUCAUUAGUUUUUUUUUUUAAAUUAAAAAAUGACAAAAUCCUUUGUCGGUCAAGCAAAGGGCUAUGGCCGCCAACGAGCCAGACCUGAUGCGUGGCGGCAAUUGGUCAAGGUCGAGCAACCCUAAUGAGGGCUGUUGAAGGUCACACGACAUUGCGUGACCCAGGCUAUGUGCGGCCCAAGCAACCAUUGCCUAGGUCUCAUGGCCUUAGGUAGCCCCCGUUUGGGUCUCACAAGGGUCACGAGGUCUGCUUGAGGCCGCAAGACCUAGGCAACGGUAGCCCAAGGUUGAGCGAUCUCCGGUGGCCCUUGCUAGGGUUGUGUGACCCUCACCGGAGGUUGCCCAAUCUCAAGCAACCUUGAUGAUUGAUCGCCGGUGGUCAUAGCCCUUCACUGGACUAGCAAAGUGUUUGGUCUUCCCUUUGUUUUUUUCAAAUUUUAAAUAUAUUUGAUUUUUUAAAAUUAUAAAUAAAUAAAAAAUUUAAAAAAUAUUAAUCAUUAAAGGGCUUCUCAAAUAUGUUUUUUUUUAUUAUUUAUUUUAUUGAAUGGCAUUUCUCUCAAAUUAUUUUUGAAAGCAUAGUUUAUCAAACGCCCUUUGUAUUUACCUAAAACUCUUUAAAGUAAGUUGUUUUACAUUUUUCUUAUAGGCUUUCAAAAUAUUAAAUCAAACGCACCUUAUAUGCAUUGAAAGGUUUGGAUGUAGUGAUCAGCAUUUAGAACAGCAACGGGGUCACCAAUCAUCAACUAAUGACUCGGAUUUGUCAGUGACUUUCACAAAAGCAUCACAAAUACAGUUCGGCCUUGAGUCUUACCAAAAAACAGGGCAAAACACAGAAGGUGGUGUUACCGUGCAGAGGAGAUAUUCUUGGCUACGAUCACUAGUCCAGUCAGCGCUUGGGAAAUUAGGGAAACGUCGCUUGAGGGUGGUGAGCAUGGGCUUCGGAUUUGAAGAGCUCGGUUUGAGUCUCCGAGGUGGAGGGCCGGGCCAAGGGGGGCACUCUUCGUGGCGGCCGAACUGAGAGAGUGACGGGAGA
rnacentral:lncRNA from 1 species